rnacentral:rRNA from 1 species
GUAGGGAAUAUUGGACAAUGGGCGAAAGCCUGAUCCAGCAAUGCCGCGUGUGUGAAGAAGGCCUGCGGGUUGUAAAGCACUUUCAGUGGGAAAGAAAAGUUCAGGGUUAAUACCCCUGAGUCUUGACGUUACCCAAAGAAGAAGCACCGGCUAACUCUGUGCCAGCAGCCGCGGUAAUACAGAGGGUGCGAGCGUUAAUCGGAAUUACUGGGCGUAAAGCGUGCGCAGGUGGUUAAAUCAGUUGGAUGUGAAAGCCCCGGGCUUAACUUGGGAAUGGCAUUCAAUACUAUUUGACUAGAGUAUGGUAGAGGGAAGUGGAAUUCCCGGUGUAGCGGUGAAAUGCGUAGAUAUCGGGAGGAACAUCAGUGGCGAAGGCGGCUUCCUGGACCAAUACUGACACUCAGGCACGAAAGCGUGGGGAGCAAACAGGAUUAGAUACCCCAGUAGUCC